GAUGAACGCUGGCGGCGUGCCUAAUACAUGCAAGUCGAGCGAACGGACGAGAAGCUUGCUUCUCUGAUGUUAGCGGCGGACGGGUGAGUAACACGUGGAUAACCUACCUAUAAGACUGGGAUAACUUCGGGAAACCGGAGCUAAUACCGGAUAAUAUUUUGAACCGCAUGGUUCAAAAGUGAAAGACGGUCUUGCUGUCACUUAUAGAUUGAUCCGCGCUGCAUUAGCUAGUUGGUAAGGUAACGGCUUACCAAGGCAACGAUGCAUAGCCGACCUGAGAGGGUGAUCGGCCACACUGGAACUGAGACACGGUCCAGACUCCUCAGGGAGGCAGCAGUAGGGAAUCUUCCGCAAUGGGCGAAAGCCUGACGGAGCAACGACGCGUGAGUGAUGAAGGUCUUCGGAUCGUAAAACUCUGUUAUUAGGGAAGAACAUAUGUGUAAGUAACUGUGCACAUCUUGACGGUACCUAAUCAGAAAGCCACGGCUAACUACGUG
rnacentral:rRNA from 1 species